GGUAUGUUAUCAGUUUUCUGUUAAAGAAAGAAGGGAAAAAGCGUGAUGGCAGGUUAAUUAGAAAACACGAGUUCCGAGAUUCGAAGAAAAAUUCGAGCUCUCUAUGGUGUACAGUGGAAUUAGUAGAUAGUAGGAACGAAGUAUUAUACGAAAUAGAACGAUAAUUUUCUUUUUUUGCCUUCUACGGAUUGGACAAGUUGGAACUAUUGUUUAGCCUUUUGUUCCGUUCAUUCAACGAAUAAUCGAUAGAGAAAGUAAAUGAGGUCGAUUUCAUGGAUAACAUUUUUCUGGAUUUCCUUUCUCAUUAACGGCAAAUUUGAUUCGAAUAUAUAAAUCAUUAUUGAAUAGAAUCUUUAUAAAUAAAUGUGAAAUUUCAAGAAAAUUUGUUUAACAGAACAAUUAGAUCGAUUUUAUCGAUGACAUCAAGAGGUUAUGUAUCGUCUUUUACAUUUUAAGCUAGAUACCAUACUAGAUAAAAUCAUUUCGUGAUAACAAAUGACAGCAAAUUUGUUGGCAAGCUCCUCCGAAAUCCCUAGCUUGUCCACAGACUUAAUUGCAGAAUAUUACCUCUCCUAAACUACUUCAUCUCAACACAUAUACCACAACUUAACACACACUUAAUACAUUAAGAGCUUCAUAUAUUUAUAGAGAAUUGGUUAAGAUAGAAAAAAAUAAUAAUCCUAGGAUUCGAAAACAUUAUUUUUAUAUUGUUUCACGUAUAUAUUGAAUUGUUUAUAAGAAUUUGAUUUUAAUGUUCGAAAUCAAUCUAUCUAAUUCAAACUAUAUAGAUGCAGAAAAAUGAAACAUAUCCUCUCGCAAAUAAUAACUGAAUUUUCAUAAAAUAAUUUAUAAACUUGAAACUUCACACAAAAAUUUCAUCCAUCCAUAUAAAAAUUAUUAAUUAUUUCAUAUCUAAAUAUUAUCUAUAUUGUAAUAAUCAAAAUAAUGUCUUGAUACUAAGUGGCAGCAUGUUUGCCAACGUUCGCGUCUAAAAGCCAGCUCAUCCGAAAUCUCACCGCGAAGUUAAUCGUAGAAUAUUAGCAAUCCUAAAUCACUACGAAACCUAAUACGGAUAUCUAGACAAGUAUGCUCGUGGAAACUCGAAAAUUCUCGGAAAAUUUCAUUUUCUUUAAUCAAUCCAUUUUCCCAUCAAAA